rnacentral:pre_miRNA from 1 species
UGGACAAAUUACUGUAUUCGACUGUAUUCACGGCGUGAAACAGGAGAUUACACCAUUUUAAAACGGAAAGUGUAUCAAUUAACAUAAUAGACUACU